UAUGGUGGUAUUGCCGAGGGUGUUCACCUCUUCCCAUUCCGAACAGAGAAGUUAAGCCCCUCAUGGCCGAUGGUACUGGUUAACUCCGGGAGAGUAGGUAGCCGCCAUAU
rfam:Beta vulgaris subsp. vulgaris contig148107.1, whole genome shotgun sequence.